rnacentral:rRNA from 1 species
UACGGGGGGGGCAAGCGUUGUUCGGAAUUACUGGGCGUAAAGGGCUUGUAGGUGGCCAACUAAGUCAGACGUGAAAUCCCUCGGCUUAACCGGGGAACUGCGUCUGAUACUGGAUGGCUCGAGUUUGGGAGAGGGAUGCGGAAUUCCAGGUGUAGCGGUGAAAUGCGUAGAUAUCGGGAGGAAUACCUAUGGCGAAAGCAGGCUACUGGACCGUCACUGACUCUGAUCUGCGAAAGCUAGGGGAGCAAACAGG